GUGUGCUGCUGUGACAAGUGGCCAGCACCCUGGGGCCUAACGAGACACAUUUCCUCUCUUGCAGUUUUGGAAGCCGGAGCACUGAGGCUGUCCGCGCCCCCUGCGCCCGCUCACUUCCUCUCUGAGCCGCACAACGCCCCCUCUCCUGCCAACGUCACAGCGGCUGGGCCGGCCGGGCGGGGCGCGACAGCAAUCCCAGCCCUCCGGAGGCCGAGGCAGGAGGACCCCAGGUUGGAACCUAGCCUGGGCGAAUUAGUGACGUAGAGAGAUCUUGUCUCACGAAAGAUAGGUACCGCGAAAAGAACAGGAAGAGGAGAAAGGGGAGGAAGAAGAAAGAAGGAUAUGGAAGAUGAGAAGGCAGCUGAGUGCAUGUAGGGUCCCUGAAUUCAGUAACCCAAGAAAAUAGCACAGCUCGAAUUCGUCCCUUAAUCACACCCACAGUCGCCGCCUCUUUCCUUACUUUUUCUUCUUUGUCCUACAGAAUAACACAAGGUCUCAGGGGUUCAGGUGUUGCUGUAAGGGUCACUGAGUCGCCUGCUGCAGGGAGCAGGGAACGGGCCACCUGGGCUGGGUGUGAGGCGAGGACGCACCAGGUGAUGAGUCAGCCAGGACCAGGAGCGCUGCUGUCAGAGGCCUUGGCAGGAAGCCACCGGUAGGCAGGGGCACCAGGGCCAAGGGCUCCUCGCAGGUGUGCCAUCCUCUUCUUGGGCAGGCUGCUCUGCACACCCGCGCGUGCCAGCCCCGUAUGGCUGUCAUCGGUGACCCGUGGUCCUCAGCCCCAGCCCCUCACCAAGCCCCACAUGUGCAAUCCACCCUCCCCACUCCGAGCUGCACUUUAGCACGGUGACCUCGGUGAGCACUGCAGCCUCUCUGUGCUUUCCUAACCACUCUGAAUUGGAAAGUUCAAGUUUCCCCCUAGGUUUUCAAGAGUUUUACAGCUUAAGGUCUCACAUUUAGAUAUGAACCUAUUUUGAGUUAAUUUUUUAAUAUGGUAAGGGUUCAAUUUUUGCACAUGGAUAUUCACUAUUUCUGAC
rnacentral:lncRNA from 1 species